rnacentral:rRNA from 1 species
GAGUUGAUCCUGGNUCAGACGAACGCUGGCGGCGUGCNUAAUACAUNCAGUCGAGCGGACAGAUGGGAGCUUGCUCCCUGAUNUUAGCGGCGGACGGGUGAGUAACACGUGGGUAACCUGCCUGUAAGACUGGGAUAACUCCGGGAAANCCGGGGCUAAUACCGGAUGGUUGUUUGAACCGCAUGGUUCAAACAUAAAAGGUGGCUUCGGCUACCACUUACAGAUGGACCCGCGGCGCAUUAGCUAGUUGGUGAGGUAACGGCUCACCAAGGCAACGAUGCGUAGCCGACCUGAGAGGGUGAUCGGCCACACUGGGACUGAGACACGGCCCAGACUCCUACGGGAGGCAGCAGUAGGGAAUCUUCCGCAAUGGACGAAAGUCUGACGGAGCAACGCCGCGUGAGUGAUGAAGGUUUUCGGAUCGUAAAGCUCUGUUGUUAGGGAAGAACAAGUACCGUUCGAAUAGGGCGGUACCUUGACGGUACCUAACCAGAAAGCCACGGCUAACUACGUGCCAGCAGCCGCGGUAAUACGUAGGUGGCAAGCGUUGUCCGGAAUUAUUGGGCGUAAAGGGCUCGCAGGCGGUUUCUUAAGUCUGAUGUGAAAGCCCCCGGCUCAACCGGGGAGGGUCAUUGGAAACUGGGGAACUUGAGUGCAGAAGAGGAGAGUGGAAUUCCCCGUUGUANCCGGUGAAAAUGCGUAAAGAUGUGGAGGAACACCCAGUUGGCGAAAGGCGACUCUCUGG